AUCAUUUUUAAUACUCAUAGUGACUAAAGUAGUUUGCAUCGAGUUUGGAGAUCUAUCUGGAUGGAAGCUCACCUUGUUUAGAGGAUUUAGCUCCUCUAAAUCAGAAUUGAAGAUGGAAAAACACAUGCUUCCUAAUCUCGUGGCUGAACCACUUGACUUGACAUGGAGAUAGUUUUUGAUCUUGAUCUUCUUUGUUAAACAGCAGAUCUUGAUCUCUAGAUGUAGGAGAUAGUUUUGCUGAAGGAGUUGAUAGUGCUUGUAUUAAAGACAUCAAUAAUUAAGAUACAAACUCGAUGACUUGGACAAUUUUUUCUUCUAGUUGUGCAAGAUGUAUCUUCAUCUUAUCAUCUAUCAAGGUUGGACUUGCAGCUAUACUCGCCUUGUCUUUCAAUGUGCUUCAGCUACUAAUAACUCUUCUCCUCUAUCUACUUGUACUACUCAUAUGUCUAGACCACAAACUAAGAUUCCAUGAAUGUAAAGAACCUAUCUCUCUGAUACCUACUUGAUCCGAUUGAGGAGAAGAUAGAUUUUCUUUAACCCACUUAACUC
rnacentral:lncRNA from 1 species